AGGUUUUUCAGGAAUAACUUUAGUGCAAUUAUUUGUUUUUGGUAUUCUAGGUUGAUUUUUCCAGUGAUGUUCCUGAUAGUAGGUAUGAUAUAACUAGCUCUUCAAUUUCUGCUAACACAGAAAAUAGUUUACCUGUUAGAACAGUGACAACAAAUGUAACAAAACCAGGGCCACCAGUCUUCUUAGCAGGG
rnacentral:lncRNA from 1 species